GGCCGUGGGGCGGCGGUGGGAGGCUCUGGGAGUGCAGCCGGCGCUGCGCGCCCGCCCCAUUGCUCUGUCCCCGGUCCGCGACCGCGACCGCGACCCCGACCCCCACGGGCCGCCUAAGCGGAGACUCUGGAAACGCCUGGGGCGGGUACCGGGUGGUCUCCGCGUCCUUCCCUUUCAACUGUUACGUCGAUGUGGACUUCAGUCACCCGUACAAAGCUGGGCUGGCCAACCCAGGUCCUCGAGAGGGGAGGUUGGGUGUCCCCGGCCGAGUUUGGUAACCAGGCAGCGGGGAGGCUGGCAGGGGAUUCUAGAAGGCGCCUGAGAACUGCGCGCCAACCGCACCGCCCCCUUGAAGGUCGGGGCCCUAUCUCCGGGAAUGGUGACAACGUUCGCUGUACGGACAGCCUGUGCCCCUGAAUGUGAAUGUCCACACUUGCUAUUUGGGGGGUCGCGGCAUCUGUAGGAAGUGAAGACGGGACGGCGAUAGGAACACACGCACAGGCGCAUCACUAGGGUCAGAACUGGGCCAACUCCGGGCGUCUACUUUGAAGCGGGCACGCCCAGGCCACGCCUGCAAACGGCGUCAGCUUCCUCUGAUCAACCGCGGUCAGCGCCAUCCACCGACCACCACUAAGCCUAUCCACCGGGGCAGAAAAGAUGACUGGUUCCUAUUCGUUAAAACUGUUGAUUGUUCCUAAAUACAUGGAUAUAUAGCUUGUACUCAGUGAAAGUUUCCAUCUAUAAGGGCCAACUGAAAUUCAGCAUAAAACAAGAAUAUUUGAAAACCUGCUACAUCAAUGCUCAGUAUUAAGGGUGAAAACGUAAAUUGGACAGUCUUUUUCACAAGAGGUUUAAAUUCAGUAAGGAAAAAAGGCAGAAAGCGUGACUCGUAGAGACAACAGGAACAAUUUUAGCAUGUUGCAAGAAGAGUAAAUGCAGUGAAUAGUCUGGUUUAACAAGAAAAUAACGCUUCUGUAGAAGGGUGUGGUGAGAGGUAAGCAACAAAGGAUGUGAUGAAAGACAUGAAAGGGCCGAGCUGGUUUUGAGCAUGAUUAAAUAGACAAGUAGCCUUGUAAAUAUGAACUUGUGGUGCCAGAAUAAUUGACUAUCCACAUAGGAAAAAUUUUUUACCCGGCGUUACACACAAAAAUAAACUCGAGGUGAAGUGCAUAUGUAAAUACGAAAGCAAAAUAUUAUACUUUGAUAAGAAAAUAUAUAAAUAUAUCUUCCUAACUUAGGCUGUUGGAAGAGUUUCAUAAAACAUUAAAAAUAAAAAUGUUAAUUAAAAAUUGACUAUAUAAGAAAAUUAAAGUUAAAGCACAAACUUGGAAAAUAUAGUUAUAAAAUAUAAAGUAUUUCUAAAAUAUGCGAAGAAAUAAUAAGAAAAAUGACACAAUAGAAAAAUGGAAAAAGAAUGUGAAAAGCAAACCAAACUUUCUGUAGUCAUCAGAAAAAUGCAAGAUAAUAUGUCACAUCCAUUAGACUGUGUAGAAAAACAGCCUGUUUCCUGGCAAGAGUGACACCAUCUUGAAGCAAAACUAUCCUGGGGACUGAUGUUUGACCCACAGCAUACCGAGGUGUUCUGCAGCAAAGGUCUUUAAACAAUGCUCAUAACAUAUAUAACCCCUCAUAAAGAUGCUUAUCUAACGUCCCCAGUGAUCACAAUAGUCUAAGAGCUAACUAGUUGCACUUGUCUUUACCCUAGAGGCUUGCUAAAUAAAGCAUACUUUCUGGAGGGCAAGUGCAGGGGUCGCUUCUGUUUGUCUCUACUAAGUAUUUCUUUCUGAGAAAUUCGAUUGGUCAGCCUCUUUGGUCUCCCAGCUUCCUCCAUCUUUGGAAGCAGGUUUCUGUAAAUUGACAAAAAUGUAAGCCUUUGAUAAUAAGUCAAGGAUGUAGUAAAAUGACAGUUCUCUGCAUUUCUUGUGGAAUUGUAAUUAUUAUAACUAUUUUUGAGAAAAAUUAAGCAAUAUCUGGUAAAGGUGAAGAUCUAAAUGUUCUGUAACCCAGUACAUUCUGGAUAUAAGUGUGUACCUAGAUUAAUGCGUGCUCAUGUGAACAAAAAAAAUAUGUGUAAGUAUGCUCUUUGGAGCAUCUUUUUGUAAUAGUAAAAUAUUAAAUGUAAAUGACCAAUGUCAUAAAGUUUUUCCCAUGUGUUUUCUUCUAGUAAUUUUACAGUUUCAGGUCUCAUAUUUAACUGCUUAAUUCACUUUAGUUGAUUUUUGUUCAUGGUGAGAGAUAAGGGUCUAAUUUCCAGAUUUUCCAACACUGUUUAUUGAAGAAGAUGCCCUUUCCCCAUUGUGUGUUCUUGGCACCUUUGUCAAAAAUCAAUUGACAGUAUAUGUAUUGGUUUAUUUUUGGGCCUUCUAUCCUAGUGCAUUGGUCAAUGCCCGUAAUUUUAUGCCAGUACCAUGCUAGUUUGAUUAAAUUACUAUAAUUAUAAUAUGUCUUGAAAUCAGAGUAUGAUGGCUUCAACUUUGAUUUUUUUUCUCAAGAUUGUUUUAGGUAUGUGGGGUCUUUUGUGGUUUCAUACAAAUUUAAGGAUUUUUUUACAUUUAUGUGAAAAAAGUGACACUGGAAUUUUGUAGAGAUUACAAUGAAUCUGUAUAUUGCCGUAGGUCAGUCAUAUAGACAUGUUCCCAAUUUUAAUUCUUCCAAUCCAUGAACAUGAGAUAUCUUUCCAUUUGCUUGUAUUUUCUUAUUUACUUGUAUUUUUAUGUGUUUUAUAGUUUUCAGUGUACAGGCCUUUUACCUGCUCAUUAAAUUUACACCUAAGUAUUUAAUUUUUUGUUACUAUUUUAAAGGGGAUGGUCUUGUUAAUUUCAUUUUAAUUUGUUAUUACUAUAUAAAAAUGCUGCUGACUUUUAUAUGUUGAUUUUGUAUUCUGUAACUUUACUGUUAAUUUAUCAGUUCUAAUAGUUUUUUGGUGGAUUCAUAUAUAAGAUCAUGUCAUAGAAAAUAGGGAUAUUUUCACUUCUUCAUUUCCUAUUAGGCUUCAAAUUUUUCCUCUUGCCUAAUUGCUUUAGCUGGGACUUACGGUACUAUAUUGAAAAGAAGUGGUGAGAGUAGGCAUACUUGUCUUGUCACUGAUCUUAGAGGAAAAGCUUUCAGUGUUUUACUGUUGAGAAUGAUAUUAGCUAAGGGUUUGUCAUAUGUAGCCUUUAUUGUGUUGAGGUACAUUCCCUCUAUACCUAUACCCAAUUUGUUAAGAGUUUUUUUUGUUGUUGUUUUUGUUUUUUUUUUUUUGAGAUGGAGUCUUGCUCAGUUUCCCAGGCUGGAGUGCAGUGGCGUGAUCUCAGCUUACUGCAAGCUCCACCUCCCAGGUUCACGCCAUUCUCCUGCCUCAGCCUCCAGAGUAGCUGGGACUACAGGCGCCCACCACUACACCAGGCUAAUUUUUUUGUAUUUUUAGUAGACAGGGUUUCACUGUGUUAGCCAGGAUGGUCUCAAUCUCCUGACCUCGCCAUCUGCCCGUCUUGGCCUCCCAAAGUGCUGGGACUACAGGUGUGAGCCACCGCGCCUGGCCUUGUUAAGAGUUUUAUUAUAAAAGGAUGUUGGGAUUUUUCAAAUGUUUUUUCUGCAUGUAUUGAAAUCAUUAUAUGAUUUUUAUCCUUGAUUAAUGUGGUAUAUCACAUAUUGAUUUGUGUGUGUAUAUAUGUCUAUUAUAGUAGAUAUAGGCAAUGUAUAUUGUAAUGUCUCCUCUUUCUUUUCUAAUCUUGUUUGAGUAGGCUCUUGUUUUCCUAGUUAGUCUAGCUAUGGGUUUGUCAACUUUAUCUUUUCAAAAAACCAACUUAGUUUUGUUGAUAUUUUCUAUUGUUUUUCUAGUCUCUAUUUCAUUUAUUUCUGUGCUGAUUUUUGUUAUUUCCCCUCUUCUGCUAUCAUUGGGCUUAGUUUAUACUUAUUUUUCUAGUUUCUUGAGUGGUAAUGUUAGAUUAUUUGUAACCUUUCUUUUUUUAUAUAGGUGUUCAUUGCUAUGAAUUUCCCUCUUAGGAUUGCUUUUGCUGUCUCCCAUAAGUUUUGAUACAUUGUCUUACCAUUUUCUUUUGUCUCAUGGUAAUUUUUUAUUUUCUAUUUGCUUUCUUCUUUAACCUAUUGGUUGUUUAGGAGCAUGUUGUUUCAUUUCCACACAUUUGUGUAUUUUCCAAGAUAUCUCCUGUUACUGAUUUCUGGUUUCAUUCCAUUGUGAUCUCAAAAGAUACUUGAUAUGAUUUCAAUUCUCUUAAAUUUGUUAAGAUUUGUUUUGUGCAUUAACAUAUGGGCUAUCCUGGAGAAUGUUCUAUGUGCACUUAAGAAGGAUGUGUAUUUUGUUGCUAUUGGAUACAGUGUUCUGUAUAUUUCUGUUUGGUCUAUUUACUCUAAAGUGUAAUGCAAGUCCAUAGUUUCUUUAUGGAUUUUCUCUCUAGAUGAUCUGUCCAUUACUGAAAAUGGAAUAUGGAGAGCCCUACUGUAAUAUUAUUAAAUUAUAUUUUUUCCUUUA
rnacentral:lncRNA from 1 species